GUGAACGCUGGCGGUAGGCCUAACACAUGCAAGUCGAACGGCAGCACAGUAAGCGCUUGCUCUUACGGGUGGCGAGUGGCGGACGGGUGAGGAAUACAUCGGAAUCUACUUUUUCGUGGGGGAUAACGUAGGGAAACUUACGCUAAUACCGCAUACGACCUACGGGUGAAAGCAGGGGAUCUUCGGACCUUGCGCGAUUGAAUGAGCCGAUGUCGGAUUAGCUAGUUGGCGGGGUAAAGGCCCACCAAGGCGACGAUCCGUAGCUGGUCUGAGAGGAUGAUCAGCCACACUGGAACUGAGACACGGUCCAGACUCCUACGGGAGGCAGCAGUGGGGAAUAUUGGACAAUGGGCGCAAGCCUGAUCCAGCCAUACCGCGUGGGUGAAGAAGGCCUUCGGGUUGUAAAGCCCUUUUGCUGGGAAAGAAAAGCAGCAGGUUAAUACCCCGCUGUUCUGACGGUACCCAAAGAAUAAGCACCGGCUAACUUCGUG
rnacentral:rRNA from 1 species